rnacentral:rRNA from 1 species
CAGUCACGGGUAACGGAGAAUUAGGGUUCGAUUCCGGAGAGGGAGCCUGAGAAACGGCUACCACAUCUAAGGAAAGCAGCAGGCGCGAAAAUUGCCCCAUCCUGAUUCAGGGAGGCAGUGACAAGAAAUAACAACUCUUGGUUUUUACCAGGAAGUGUAAUGAGGAUAAUUUACAACCCUUACUGAAAGCAAUUGGAGGGCAAGUCUGGUGCCAGCAUCCGCGGUAAUUCCAGCUCCAAUAGCGUAUAUUAAAGUUGUUGCAGUUAAAAAGCUCGUAGUUGAAAUUCUGAUUGUUUGGUGUCGAGCAAUGAGCUCUGUCGCCGGCAGUCAUCCGCUUGCAAGCAUAUGUCCGUCCGUUAAAAGAUGGCUAUGUGAGCAAGUAUUUUACCUUGAGAAAAACAGAGUGUUCCAGGCAGGUUUUGUCCGGAAUGCAUUAGCAUGGAAUAAUAGAAUAUGACUGGAGUCUAUUUAUUGGUUUAAGACUUUAGUAAUGAUUAAUAGGAACAGUCGGGGGCAUUAGUACUUGACAGUCAGAGGUGAAAUUCUAAGAUUUGUCAAAGACUAACUAAUGCGAAAGCAUUUGCCAAGGAUGUUUUCAUUAAUCAAGAACGAAAGUUAGGGGAUCA